rnacentral:RNase_P_RNA from 2 species
GCACUGUCGCGGUUUGUCGCUGGUGUCAUUUUGGCACGAGAGGAAAGUCCGGGCAGCAUAGGGCGCUCCACUUCCGAAAGUAGAAGCUAUUGGUGACAGUAGGUGACGGCAGAAGAGAAUGACCGCCUUCGCUUCGGUGAGGGUAAGGGUGAGAAGGUGGUGUAAGAGACCACCAGCCGAUGGGUGAUCAUCGGGCUGUGUCGACUGGAGGCUGCAAGUUCAUGUAUACCGUCGUCUGAGGGUAGCCCGCUCGAGUUAUACGACGGAGGGUAGAACGCUUGAGCCAUGGGGUGACUUGUGGACUAGAUAAAUGACAGACAGCCACACUUGUUGUGGAUACAGAACCCGGCUUAUAGCGACAGUGCUUUU